rnacentral:lncRNA from 1 species
AUUGUUCUCUUUUGUUUUGUUUUGCUUUUUUUACCAAAGAGGGGGACGAGGUAAAGUUGUCCGAAUAGUUACUAAGUAAUGUUACUGCUUAGCCCUAGGUCGGCCUUAAUUGAGCAGACUUAACGAUCAAAGGCACUGAAACAAUGACCAUCACAUUCUUCAUUUCCACGAGAAUGUACUCCGUUUUCGGUUCUUUUCUUCUUUUCUUUUCUCAUUUGAGACGGCGUGAUCUGAUUGACGAGAGAUUUUGGCUGUUAUUUCCAGGACGGUCGAAUGCCUAUGUUAGUGCCUGCCUCACUUUUUGGCUCGAAAUGAAGAAUGUUUUUUAUCUUGGUGAUGAUAAUGGUGAGUAGUGGAUAAGGUGAGAGUGGCUGGUGGUAGCUUUUGUUGUGCCACCUUGGUGGUAUUUGUGUCGGUGUUUCUUGUGGAAUUCAGUAGCGGCCGUAGCGUUUUGGUGGUGGUGGUGGUGGUGGUUGGUAGUAGUAGUAGUAGUAGUAGUAGUAGUAAGUUCCGGUUCGUGUUAGUAGUGUUUGAAGUUGUGGUGGUAGUAAUAGGUCUUGUUUAUAAGUUAUGCGAUCGUGGUGCUGGUGCUGGUAGUGUUGGUAGUUAAGCUAUGGUUGUGGUUGAAGUAGCAUCGGUGAAGGCUGUUUGCUGUGUUGCCUAUAGUGUUGUUGUUGUUGAUGUUGUUGUUGUUGAUGGUGGUGGUGGUGGUGGAGGUGGUGACGGCGCUGUUGGUUGUUUUGUUUGGAAACUGAUCAAGGAUGAGAACUCACCACGUGAGAGAAAGAGAGAGAUUCUCGCAACAACGGCGAUAUUACGCAAUACAAGACACGCAAACAGUGUAAAGCACGCUUCCUCACUCUGGAUAUGCCAAGGUACGUACCAUCCUCGAAAACAGGAAGGUAAACAAAAAUACAUUCCGACCAACGACGAUGUUGUGUUUAAACGGUCCGUCGACCUGCUAGAAAAUGCAGCCAAAUUCCAAUCACCUUGCACUCAGCAACCUUCGAACGGAAAGAAUCAUUGGAUAAUAAAAUUCCUGGAUGGACUGCUUCAAUUAUCAGACUGGAUUAUCACAGAUGGAACGCUUUUUGAUCAUCAGACUUCUCAGUUAAGUCUGACUCGGUGCUAAGCAAUAAUAACAAAUUAAAACAUUUUUGAUGUGAUAUAGUAGUUAAUUUCUCGUUCAAUCAAGAUCAUUAUUAAUAUAUCACAAGUUUUUUAAAAAAUGUUAAAAAAAAAACAAAAAACGAGGAAAACAGCAAAAACAGAAACAUCAUCAUCAACUACCAGAAUGAAAAUUUUGAUUGAUCGAUCGAUCUUUUAAAUCAAUCGAUGAGUUAAUCAUUUAAUCAAUCAAUAAACUGUACUCCAGCCGUUAAGCAGAUUCUCCUAUACAAUGCGCGUGUUGUGUGUGUGCUUGCAUAUAAAGAUGAUUUAAACAGAAAGUAUGUGAUCCCAAACAAUGUAUAUAUGCAUGAUGAGGAGGAAGAGGAAGGAAGGAAGGAAGGAAGGGAGGAAACAUUUACUCCCACAUCAGGCCCUGAUCGGUGAUGCCAAAACUAAGACGCUCUAGUCACGACCAUCCUGUCUUCUGAGGUGUCCUUGCCUCUUUAUUUUUGACGGCACUGUGUAGUUUGAAGAAGAAUUAGCUACUGUUUCUAGUAGGUCGAGCAACUAUGUAAGAGGCUCGAGUUGUGAUCGAUGAUAGUGAUGAUGAUGAUGAUGAUGAUGAUGAAUUUGGAAGAAAAAUAUCAUAACAGCGAGUCAUAUAUCCAGUCAAUAUGUAAAUGACAGAGAUUUCGCUUUAGAGUCCCUGGAGGGAUGAUUCAAAUAGACUAACUCCUGUGAUAUUUGAAAUAAGAAUAAGAAGGUAAACAGAUGGAACUAAAGAUAUUCUAACGAUUUUGGUCAAGCUGAAAUUCAACUGGGUUGCCAACAACCCCUUUCUGAUAAUAGCGGAUAGUCAAAUACUCACACACACACACAUAUAAAUGGACAGUCACUUGACAAGAGAAGUAACUAAAUAAUAAUAAUAAUAAUAAUAAUAAUAAUAAUGAUAGUCUCUUAUUUAGGCACAAGGCCCACAAUUUUGAGGGGAGAGAGUUGGUCAAUUACAGCGACCUCAGUACUUAACUGGUACAUCAUUAUCAUCGAUCCUGAAAGGAUGGAAAUCAAAGCUGACCUCGACGGGAUUUGAACUCAGAACAAAUGAUGUCAAAGAAUCAGUAUGACUGGUGAUGCUAAUGGUCGCAAAAUGUUAAAGACAAAUGAAUCGACCUUCAUUAUUGCAGACAGUUAUCUAUUAAUUGAAUGCAGACCAAAAAUUGGAAUGAAAAAAAAUAUUUCCGAAAAAAAAAGAAAGAAAGCUGAUUCCCAGUGUAACUCGAACUUAAACAAGAAAUUCAGAACCGUAUGAUGUAAAUAUGAUUUAAAAAAAAAAGAAAAGAAAAAAGAAAAAAAAGAAGCGUUCAUUUUGCUUCUUUUUCGAAGAAUGAUAUAUCAAUGGAUUUCUUACAUUGGCACAGUACCAGGGAUUUGUAUAAACGAUGGUACUAGCGAUCUGCAAUUCUUUAUACCUGGACCGCUAACCACAACAAGGAUUUCUUAUAGAAAAGCACAAGUCCAAAUGUUUGUAGGAGGUUGCAGUCGAUCAUAUCGGCUGCUGCCUUAUUACAAUCGACCCUGGAGGGAUUUAAAAAA